rnacentral:rRNA from 1 species
CCUACGGGAGGCUGCAGUGAGGAAUAUUGGUCAAUGGACGAGAGUCUGAACCAGCCAAGUAGCGUGAAGGAUGACUGCCCUAUGGGUUGUAAACUUCUUUUAUAUGGGAAUAAAACGUUCCACGUGUGGGAUUUUGUAUGUACCAUAUGAAUAAGGAUCGGCUAACUCCGUGCCAGCAGCCGCGGUAAUACGGAGGAUCCGAGCGUUAUCCGGAUUUAUUGGGGUUAAAGGGAGCGUAGGUGGAUGGUUAAGUCAGUUGUGAAAGUUUGCGGCUCAACCGUAAAAUUGCAGUUGAAACUGACAGUCUUGAGUACAGUAGAGGUGGGCGGAAUUCGUGGUGUAGCGGUGAAAUGCUUAGAUAUCACGAAGAACUCCGAUUGCGAAGGCAGUUCACUGGACUGCAACUGACACUGAGGCUCGAAAGUGUGGGUAUCAAACAGGAUUAGAUACCCCAGUAGUC